rnacentral:rRNA from 1 species
UACGUAGGGAGCAAGCGUUGUUCGGAUUUACUAGGGCGUGAAAGGCGCGUAGGCGGCAAUUCAAGUCAGCUGUGAAAUCUCCGGGCUUAACUCGGAACGGUCAGCUGAUACUGCUUUGCUAGAGUGCGGAAGGGGCAAUCGGAAUUCUCGGUGUAGCGGUGAAAUGCGUAGAUAUCGAGAGGAACACCUGAGGUGAAGACGGGUUGCGUGGGCCGAACAC